CCAAUAGCGUAUAUUAAAGUUGUUGCAGUUAAAAAGCUCGUAGUUGAAUUUCGGGGUCAGUAGGUUGGUCAUGCCUCCGGUAUGUACUGGUCUCACUAAUUCCUCCUUCCUGAUGAGCCGUAAUGCCAUUAAUUUGGUGUUGCGGGGAAUCUGGACUGUUACUUUGAAAAAAUUAGAGUGUUUAAAGCAAGCUAACGCUUGAAUACAUUAGAAUGGAAUAAUGGAAUAGGACGUUCGAUCCUAUUUUGUUGGUUUCUAGGAUUGACGUAAUGAUUAAUAGGGAUAGUUGGGGGCAUUAGUAUUCAAUUGUCAGAGGUGAAAUUCUUGGAUUUAUUGAAGACUAACUACUGCGAAAGCAUUUGCCAAGGAUGUUUUCAUUAAUCAAGAACGAAAGUUAGGGGAUCGAAGACGAUCAGAUACCGUCGUAGUCUUAACCAUAAACUAUGCCGACUAGGGAUCGGAUGAUGUUAACUUUUUAAUGACUCAUUCGGCGCCUUACG
rnacentral:rRNA from 1 species